UACGGAGGGUGCGAGCGUUAAUCGGAAUUACUGGGCGUAAAGCGCGCGUAGGCGGUUCGAUAAGUCAGAUGUGAAAUCCCCGGGCUCAACCUGGGAAUGGCAUUUGAUACUGUCAGACUAGAGUGUGGUAGAGGGAAGUGGAAUUCCGCAUGUAGCGGUGAAAUGCGUAGAUAUGCGGAGGAACACCAGUGGCGAAAGAGGCUUCCGGGACCAACAAUGACGAUGAGGUGCGAAAGCGUGGGGAGCAAACAGG
rnacentral:rRNA from 1 species